rnacentral:lncRNA from 1 species
ACCCAUCCGAGGAGUUAGGCAGGCGGGACGCCCUCGGGGACGGUGCUGUAGCUGGGGUUAGUGGUGAGGGACAAGGAGAGGUGCAUACCGGGCGGGUGCUCGGAUCGUAGUUUCGGAAAGCCCUCGGUCGAACCAGCGCGUCCAAAGCGGCACUCAGGAUGGUCCAGCGUUUGACAUACCGUCGUAGGCUUUCCUACAAUACAGUCUCUAACAAAACUAGGCUGUCUCGAACCCCUGGCAACAGGAUUGUUUACCUUUACACCAAGAAGGUUGGGAAAGCACCUAAAUCCGCAUGUGGCGUAUGCCCAGGCAGACUGCGAGGAGUUCGUGCUGUGAAACCCAAAGUCCUUAUGAGAUUAUCUAAGACAAAGAAGCGUCAGCAGGGCCUAUGGUGGCUCCAUGUGUCCCAAGUGUGUCCGUGACAGGAUCAAGCGGGCUUUCCUUAUCGAGCAGCAGAAAAUCGUUGUGA